AGACAGUUCGGUCCCUAUCUGUGGUGGGCGCUAGUAAAUUGAGUGGACAUGACCUUAGUACGAGAGGACCGGGUUGUACGUACCGCUGGUGUAUCUGUUGUGCCGCCAGGUGCAGUGCAGAGUAGCUAUGUACGGCAAGGAUAAACGCUGAAAGCAUCUAAGCGUGAAACCUUCCACAAGAUGAGUUUACUUUUAAGGGUCGUCAAAGACUAUGACGUUGAUAGGCUAUAGGUGUAAAAAUGGUAACAUUAAAGCCAAGUAGUACUAAUUGCCCGUAAGCUUUAUUUUUUUA
rnacentral:rRNA from 1 species